UACGGAGGGGGCAAGCGUUGUUCGGAAUUACUGGGCGUAAAGGGCGCGCAGGCGGCUGCUCAAGUCAGGCGUGAAAGGCCUGGGCUCAACCUGGGGGCUGCGUUUGAUACGUGCGGGCUUGAGUUCGGAAGAGGGUCGUGGAAUUCCCAGUGUAGAGGUGAAAUUCGUAGAUAUUGGGAAGAACACCGGUGGCGAAGGCGGCGCUCUGGACCGAGACUGACGCUGAGGCGCGAAAGCGUGGGGAGCAAACAGG
rnacentral:rRNA from 1 species